AUUGAACGCUGGCGGAAUGCUUUACACAUGCAAGUCGAACGGCAGCAUAGGUGCUUGCACCUGAUGGCGAGUGGCGAACGGGUGAGUAAUACAUCGGAACGUGCCCAGUCGUGGGGGAUAACGUAGCGAAAGUUACGCUAAUACCGCAUACGAUCUAAGGAUGAAAGCGGGGGACCGUAAGGCCUCGCGCGAUUGGAGCGGCCGAUGUCAGAUUAGGUAGUUGGUGAGGUAAAGGCUCACCAAGCCGACGAUCUGUAGCUGGUCUGAGAGGGCGACCAGCCACACUGGGACUGAGACACGGCCCAGAUUCCUACGGGAGGCAGCAGUGGGGAAUUUUGGACAAUGGACGCAAGUCUGAUCCAGCCAUUCCGCGUGCAGGACCAAGGCCUUCGGGUUGUAAACUGCUUUUGUACGGAACGAAAAAGCUCUUACUAAUACUAGGAGUCCAUGACGGUACCGUAAGAAUAAGCACCGGCUAACUACGUGCCAGCAGCCGCCGUAA
rnacentral:rRNA from 1 species